rnacentral:sRNA from 1 species
AGAUCGUCAGGUGAGGGAGGAAGGGAUAGCCAGCGCGAAGGAAGUGCUGGAGUCGUGUGUUUUGGCUGCGCGUGAUCCUGCGUGGGUCGGGAGGUGUUUCUGUGAAAAGCCUAAAGAUUAGACUGUAAGAAAAGAAAAUAGAAGCCAUGUUUCGAAGACCAGUAUUACAGGUAGUCACUUGUCUGUAUUAAUACUGAGAUGUAUUACUAUCAGCCACAGUGAUCAGAAGACUUCUUUAGGCUUUUAACUACAGGGGCAAAAGACCUUUGAGCUCACCCACCCACCUCUAUACUCAUUUGAUAUGGAGGAUUGGCGACGAUUUUGCCAGUGUAAAUUAUGUUCACUAAAACAAAAAAAAAGUCCAGGUUUAUUCACACGUAAUAGGAAUCAUUAAUUUUUAAAAUGUGUGUGUGUUGCUUGAAUUUAACCAGUGAGAGGACAUUAAAGGUCUUUAGUGACCUAAAGACUGUAGGAAUCAUUGUUCCAACUUUUUUCUUAAGGCAUGUAGUUGCUUUUUUGACCAUCUACCCCCUGUGUUGCUAAACGUUCCUCUUCCCCCAUCUUUCCACACUGAAGAGAGCAUCUCAAGUCUCACUGGUCACCACAGAUUUCACUAUGUAGAAAAUGCCUUCUCAUUCCACUUAGUAUGGGUCCUCACUUUUCCAGACACUAGCCCACCUUGAGCCAGCUUAGACUACCAUUUUUCCUCACUUACCACAUUCGGGCACCAGCUCCUGUAGAUUCUUCUUUGGUUCUCCUACUCCCCAUCCUCCUGUGAAGACCAAUGAAGAAUCAGUUCCUCCAUGACUCUGUCAUUUUCCCCACCGUAAUCCUAUAUUCUUGGAUCCCCACUUUAACCUGUAUGUAUCUUUAAUCUAUUUUUUUCUGUAUUGAAAUGUGAAACAUGAAAAAGUUAUUGCUUCUUAACGCUAACGUUACAGUAUUAAAAUGUCUUUAAAUAAGAGUUAAAAGUUUAAUUUAAAAAAUUAUCCAAGUUAAAUAAUCCUUUCCUAAUCUUCUCCAGUAGAUUUUUGUGUGCCCCAAAUGAGACAUUGUUAUUAUAAAUCUCUGUGUAAGAUUUAUGAGCUCUAGCUUGUCUGAGCACUCAAAUGACAUUUCCAGAAUCAUGACACAGGUUCUCAUUAGCAGUUUGAUUCUAUAGUAUGUUGUACUCAUAUCUUUAUUUUCUUAUCCGCCCUCUGCUCCUAAGUUUAGUGAUAGGAUUAGAUAGCCAACAGCACCCUGGGGAUUGGUGUUUAUUUGAUUGGUGGACUUCUGCUUUUUAUAUUAACAGUACUGCCACUUCAAAAAUGUUUCUCUGAUAGAAUGGCUAGCUCUCUGAGCUCUGAAUUCAGUGAUGUGUACUCCCAUCUUUACAGGAGCUCUUGAAAUUAAGGAGGCAGCAGAGGGCUUUGGGAAAGCAGUAGCAUUGGUGUCAAAGGGCCCUGGGUCCUUGAGAUCACUUGCCACAUACUUCCUGCAGGAGCUUGGGCAGGUGAUGCAGUCUCUCUGAGGUGUUUUCUCAGCCCUAAAUGGGAAUAAUUUUACAUAACUUGUAGAUUUAGUUUUAGAAUUGAUAAUAGAUAAAUCCCUUAGCUGAUAUUCAGUAAUGAUUGCUGCUAUUAUGUGGUAGUGACUACCUUUGCUGACAAUGAUGUGACUUUGACUUGGACAGUCGAGUCUUUGUGUUUAAUC